rnacentral:rRNA from 1 species
UGAGGCGAACCGGGGGAACUGAAACAUCUAAGUACCCCGAGGAAAAGAAAUCAACCGAGAUUCCCCCAGUAGCGGCGAGCGAACGGGGAGGAGCCCAGAGCCUGAAUCAGUGUGUGUGUUAGUGGAAGCGUCUGGAAAGGCGCGCGAUACAGGGUGACAGCCCCGUACACAAAAAUGCACAUGCUGUGAGCUCGAUGAGUAGGGCGGGACACGUGGUAUCCUGUCUGAAUAUGGGGGGACCAUCCUCCAAGGCUAAAUACUCCUGACUGACCGAUAGUGAACCAGUACCGUGAGGGAAAGGCGAAAAGAACCCCGGCGAGGGGAGUGAAAAAGAACCUGAAACCGUGUACGUACAAGCAGUGGGAGCAUGCUUAGGCGUGUGACUGCGUACCUUUUGUAUAAUGGGUCAGCGACUUAUAUUCUGUAGCAAGGUUAACCGAAUAGGGGAGCCGAAGGGAAACCGAGUCUUAACUGGGCGUUAAGUUGCAGGGUAUAGACCCGAAACCCGGUGAUCUAGCCAUGGGCAGGUUGAAGGUUGGGUAACACUAACUGGAGGACCGAACCGACUAAUGUUGAAAAAUUAGCGGAUGACUUGUGGCUGGGGGUGAAAGGCCAAUCAAACCGGGAGAUAGCUGGUUCUCCCCGAAAGCUAUUUAGGUAGCGCCUCGUGAACUCAUCUCCGGGGGUAGAGCACUGUUUCGGCAAGGGGGUCAUCCCGACUUACCAACCCGAUGCAAACUGCGAAUACCGGAGAAUGUUAUCACGGGAGACACACGGCGGGUGCUAACGUCCGUCGUGAAGAGGGAAACAACCCAGACCGCCAGCUAAGGUCCCAAAGUCAUGGUUAAGUGGGAAACGAUGUGGGAAGGCCCAGACAGCCAGGAUGUUGGCUUAGAAGCAGCCAUCAUUUAAAGAAAGCGUAAUAGCUCACUGGUCGAGUCGGCCUGCGCGGAAGAUGUAACGGGGCUAAACCAUGCACCGAAGCUGCGGCAGCGACGCUUAUGCGUUGUUGGGUA